GGAAAAAGAAGCAGGUGGGGGAGAGAAGGAACUAAGGCCUGAGUGGUGUGGGUAAAUGGGGUCAAGUCCAACCUGGUGCACAAAGUCCAUGAGGUGCAUAAAGAGGAAGUACAAAUAACACUAAAUAGAACCAAGUCAGGAAAGCAGUUAGAUUGGACCAACUACAUAUAGAGAAGAUCCUUGCUGGAGGCAAAGCAAUUGUGAGGACAUUGAGCAAGAUGUCUCCCACUUAUACACCAAGAUCAUUUAGGAUUCCUUGGAAGAUGUAACAACAGAAAGAAUGUUGUUCAAUGACUUUUUGGGGACAAAACAGGGAGAUGUCUGCUCACCAAAGAGAACCAACCAUAUUUACACUGACACAUUGAAGCAGUCCAAAAGGGGGAGACCAGAUUAGUGAGAAGACUGGAUAAAAUGCCAUAUCAGACUCACAGGAAUGACUGGAGUUCCUCUAUUCCAUUAAAGAUCCAUCUCCCACCUGCAAUAUUAUAU